rnacentral:lncRNA from 1 species
CGGAGCCACACGCCUGACUCGAGGGGCUGCCUAGACGCCGUGAGGUCUGACUGGUCGGAAACUGCUUUUAAAGAAAAUUCGAGGGGAGGUGAGCCGAGGGAAGCGGGGGACAGCUGGCACCCUCAAGACCCUCAGCGCCGCAAGUACGCUGCUGCCCUCGCUGAAGAAGCAAUUUACCCUGGGGACUCGAGUCUUGAAAGCAACGGCUCAGAUCAGCCCACCAGGAAUUACAAUGAAG